rnacentral:rRNA from 1 species
CAGCAGUAGCCGCGGUAAUACGAAGGGGGCUAGCGUUGUUCGGAAUUACUGGGCGUAAAGCGCACGUAGGCUGACAUUUAAGUCAGGGGUGAAAUCCCGGGGCUCAACCUCGGAACUGCCUUUGAUACUGGGUGUCUUGAGUGUGGAAGAGGUAAGUGGAAUUGCGAGUGUAGAGGUGAAAUUCGUAGAUAUUCGCAGGAACACCAGUGGCGAAGGCGGCUUACUGGUCCACAACUGACGCUGAGGUGCGAAAGCGUGGGGAGCAAACAGGAUUAGAUACCCCCGUAGUCCCUGUCUCUUAUAA